rnacentral:rRNA from 1 species
GUUCCCACGGGGCGCAGCAGUGGGGAAUUUUGGACAAUGGGCGCAAGCCUGAUCCAGCUAUUCCGCGUGUGGGAUGAAGGCCCUCGGGUUGUAAACCACUUUUGUAGAGAACGAAAAGACACCUUUUAAUAAAGGGUGUUGCUGACGGUACUCUAAGAAUAAGCACCGGCUAACUACGUGCCAGCAGCCGCGGUAAUACGUAGGUGGCGAGCGUUAUCCGGAAUGAUUGGGCGUAAAGGGUGCGUAGGCGGCCUGCUAAGUCUGGAGUGAAAGGUACCGGCUCAACCGGUACAGGCUCUGGAAAC